GCUCUGUGGGACAAAACUCCUGAGUUCAGAUUCUUGCUUCAGAAUGCAUUCUCAAGUUCACAUGGAAUCAUGGAUUACCACAGGCUUUACUUGAGAAGAACCCGUCCUUUGUUCAAGCAAUGGAUAGUAUGUGCAAACUACAUUUAUCAAACUAUUAUAGUUAUUCUGUAAUACAAUUUGGCCUUCCAUUGUUGUGCAUAAUGUAUCAUUUUCCACACGAUAAGAAUUGCCAAUAUGUGAAAGAUUUGUAGAUAUGCUUUGUGUAUUACAUUUUGUGUUUGAAGUUUUUAAUAACCGUUUAAAUUCU